rnacentral:rRNA from 1 species
CCCUUAGAUGUUCUCGGCCGCACACGCGCUACACUGAAAGAGGCAACGUGUUUGCCUGAUUCGAAAGAAUUGGGUAACCCCCUAAUCUCUUUCGUGCUGGGGAUUGAGGUUUGCAAUUAUCCUUCAUGAACGAGGAAUUCCCAGUAAGUGCGAGUCAUUAUCUCGCGCUGACUACGUCCCUGCCCUUUGUACACACCGCACGUCGCUACUACCGAUUGAAUGAUUUAGUGAGGACUUCGGACUGAGUCCAAUGCGGCUUUCGGGCUGCGUUGGUAUUUCGGAAAGAUGUCCAAACUGUAUCAUUUAGAGGAAGUAAAAGUCGUAACA